ensembl:rRNA 5S_rRNA 5S ribosomal RNA
AAUGACGGCCAUACCACCUUAGGCACGCCCGAUCUCGUCUGAUCUCGGAAGCUAAGCAGGGUCGGGCCUGGUUAGUACUUGGAUGGGUGACCGCCUGGGAAUACCAGGUGCUGUAAGCA